CUGUGCCGAAGGCAGCGGCUUAACCCACUGAGCCACCCAGGCACCCUCUAUGUGAAAAUUCUUUAGUAAGUUAAUAAAUUCUUUUAUUUGUUAAAGAAUUGUAAGGAGUCAUAGGAAUGCUGUACAUAGUGGUUCUGAAGGAUCUGAUCUAUAUAGUAUCUAAGUAACAUAAUAGAGGCACUAUGUGAGACUUUUAGUUUUUCUUAAAUAUUUAUUAGAGCAUGCACGCAUGCAGCGGGGAGGGGCAGAGGGGGAAAGUUUUAAGCAGACUCCAUGCUGAUUGCAGAGACCAUGUGGGGCUUGACCACAGGACCUUGAGAUCAUGAUCUGAGCCAAAACCAAGAGUCAGAUGCCUAACUCACUGCGUCCCUGUGCCAAUUUUUAAUACACACUAUUUUGCACCUGUUGGUUUUUUUCAUUGCACAAAAGUAGCGAUUUUAACACAUGGCACUAAAAGAAUGAAACAAACGUUUCACUAUGUCUGAAAAACCUUAACAAAAAAAAAAAAGUAAA